rnacentral:rRNA from 1 species
CCGACGGUGAGGGACGAAAGCUGGGGGAGCAAACCGGAUUAGAUACCCGGGUAGUCCCAGCCGUAAACGAUGUGCGUUAGGUGUAUCGGUGACCACGAGUCACCGAGGUGCCGAAGAGAAAUCGUGAAACGUACCGCCUGGGAAGUACGGUCGCAAGGCUGAAACUUAAAGGAAUUGGCGGGGGAGCACCACAACAGGUGGAGCCUGCGGUUUAAUCGGACUCAACGCCGGGAAACUCACCAGAUAAGACAGCUGAAUGAUAGUCGGGCUGAAGACUCUACUUGACUAGCUGAGAGGAGGUGCAUGGCCGUCGUCAGUUCGUACUGUGAAGCAUCCUGUUAAGUC